ACGAACGCUGGCGGCGUGCUUAACACAUGCCAGUCGAACGGUGAAGCGCCUUCCUUUUUGGUGGGUGUGGAUGAGUGGCGAACGGGUGAGUAACACGUGAGUAACCUGCCCCCUUCUUCUGGAUAACCGCAUGAAAGUGUGGCUAAUACGGGAUAUUCUGGGUCUGUCGCAUGAUGGGUCUGGGAAAGAUAUUGUUUCGGUGGGGGAUGGGCUCGCGGCCUAUCAGCUUGUUGGUGGGGUGAUGGCCUACCAAGGCGGUGACGGGUAGCCGGCCUGAGAGGGUGGACGGUCACACUGGGACUGAGACGCGGCCCAGACUCCUACGGGAGGCAGCAGUGGGGAAUAUUGCACAAUGGGCGCAAGCCUGAUGCAGCGACGCCGCGUGAGGGAUGGAGGCCUUCGGGUUGUGAACCUCUUUCGCCAGUGAAGCAGGCCUGCCUCGUUUGUGGGUGGGUUGACGGUAGCUGGGUAAGAAGCGCCGGCUAACUACGUG
rnacentral:rRNA from 1 species